rnacentral:lncRNA from 1 species
UCGGCACCCUGUCAUACGCCUUCUCUAAAUCUACAAAGACACAAUGCAGCUCCUUCUGACCAUCAAACCCAAGUUGGAGUGAAUGACACCAUCAUACAUCUGGAAACUUUAGAAGUUCAACUUUUAACUAUCUGAAUUAGACGAAACUUGUCCUAAACACUUCCUGAAUAGCUUCUUGUUUCCAGGUUGUAGGUACACAAAGUUAAUACUUCUAAAAUGACAGAAUGUCUGCAAAAAUCUACUGAUUGCAAUGACACUGAUAUGACAUUAGUAAAAACGGUCAUCGAUAGAAUUUCAACACCAUUAACAUACAUAUGUAACUUAUCAUUCUAAACAGGUUUAUUUCCAAACUAAAUGAAAAUUACUAAAGUUAUACCUUUGUACAAAACUGGGAAAAACACCACUUCACAAACUACAGACCUGUCUCUUCACUUCCACAAUAGAUUAGAGGACGCGCGUGUGUUUUUUCGUCUGAGAACAACAGCGGGAUUUUUAAACUCUACACAACAUUUCUUCUACAUUUCUACAACUCAGCUACACGUCAUUCCACCCUUUGCCCUCUGGACCUGUCUGACUCAUCCUGAUGCCCAACUUCUGGCUGGAGAUCUCGUCGCCUGGAUCCACCUUUUGCCCUUUGGGAUGCGUUUGGAGACUGGAUUGGUCACAAGCUACUAUGAUGUCGGUCCCGGCCUCGGCGGACGUCGGAAGCUGUUUCUUGGAGCUCUCGACUCAACGCUCGAUAGUCCAAGAAUGGAACUAGUCUGCCUGCAAUAACUAACUGGACUCCAUAUUAACUUAAAAGACUUUAACUGUUAUACUGGACUGCUGCCUACACAGCAUGUAAUCACCCAUAUGAGGAUGGGUUCCCUGUUGAGUCUGGUUCCUCUCAAGGUUUCUUCCUGUUGCCUUCUCAGGGAGUUUUUCCUUGCCACUGUCGCCCUCGGCUUGCUCAUCAGGGACAAUCACAUUAUUAUGACUCAUACACAUACACUGUUCAUGUACUGUUCUUUGGUUGUGUAAAGCUGCUUUGUGACAAUGUCAAUUGUAAAAAGCGCUCUACAAAUAAAAUUGAAUUGAAUUGAAUUGAAUUGAAUUAGAUACAUUCUUAGAAAAGCUCCAGUUACUCACUGACAGUCAAUAUGGAUUCAGAACAAACUGAUCUACAUCACUGGAAAUAAUGGAAUCAGUAGAGGAAAUCACGGCGGCUGGGUAGUGCAGUGGUACUAUCACCACCUCCCAUGUGGGAGACUGGGGUUCAAAUUCCACCAGUAGGGGUCCUUAGGCAAGACCUCCCCACGCUGCCCUGCCUACCCUUGUAAGUCGCUUUGGAUAAAAGUCUGCUAAAUGUAAAUGUAGAUCACAACUGCUAUAGAUCAAAAGAAAUAUGCCGUGGGAGUUUUCAUUGAUCUUGAAAAAGCUUUCAGUACAUUUAAUUAUGACAAAUUAUUAAAUAAACUGGAAAGGUAUGGGAUCACAGGGAUAGUAUUAGACUGGGUAAAGAGUUACCAUAAUGGGAGACAGCAGUUUAAAGAAGUUUGUGAAGCUGGGAAACUCUUGCUCAAUGUGUCUGGACAUUGCUCAUGGUGUCCCUCAGGUGUCAGUGUUAGGCCCGAAACUGUUAAUUUUAUAUAUCAAUGAUAUGUGCUAGUGUCUAAGUGAUUAUGGUAGGUAUUAAUUACAGAUGAUACAAAUAUUUUCUGUUCUGGGGAAGAUUUGCAACAGUUGCUUGAGGACGUCAUGAAAGAAUGCAUAAAGUCAACAUAUGUUGUGAUGGGGAAAAAAAUCAUCUUUAAACUUGAGCAAAACAAAAAUCAUGAUAUUUGGAAAUUGCUAAAUAAACUCACAGAUACAUAUACAAAUAAAUGGAGUUGACAUUGAAAGAGUACAAGACGAUACAUUUCUUGGGGUAAUAAGAGAUGACAGAACUACUAAGUACUUAAGUACAAACUGAAGUAUCAAGAUCCAAUUUAUAUUAAACAAAGCAAAACAUUUUCUCAUUAUUGUUGCAGUCAAAGUUUUUGAAAUGUUCAGAAGUGGUGAAAUAUCAAAUACUUAAAUUAGUCUAUCAGUUACUGGAGAUAAAUUGUGGAACUGUCUCAAUAUGGAAAGAAAAGAAAUUUUCAAACAUAAACCAGUUUAAAAUCAGAGACAUGAUCUUCAGAGUCUACAAGGAUGAAGACAAGUGUUGACAAUCACCAGGUAGCAGCUGCAUCAGGCCAACUCAGCACCACUAGCCAACCUGAACUCCCUCACCCUGGUCUACAAUCCCUCCCACACACUGCUGUGAGCAAACAGCAUCUUGUGAGCCACUCACCUCACCUUAAAUAAGAUUCCAGGCUAAACUUUUCAGCUCUCUGGUUCCACAAUGGUGGAAUGACCUACCCCCCUCAGCUACAUCACUCUCGCUGAUAACAGCAGUCUUCCGCAACUUUCUCUGCACUUAAAUCUAAAAAAAGCUUAGUGUGUUGGUUCAAUACAGCAGCCGGAAGGAACACACUGACGUCCUGCUGCAGGAUACAAACACAUGCUUUUAUUCUGAAAGGUCCAACUUCAGCUUCUGCUCCAGCAGCUGCAGGAAUCAUUGUUUGAUCAAGUACGACACACAGAUGUGUUUCCAGAUGUGUGUGGAUGCUGUAGAUGAACCAGCAGCACUUACAGAUACAGUCCACAACAACAGUGAGUCCACUCCUGGUCAGUAUCACUAAAAUGUCAAGUCACUUCAAUUCGUCACCAUUUCAGGAGAUCUGACUUUAGUUGGACUCAUUUAACUCCAAAUAAAGAUGAUUGGAGAACAAAAGUCAGGAAACUUUCCUUCAUGAAAUUCAUGGAUGUGUUUGACUUGAAUCUUUGGUCUUGUUGGGUCAUUUGUGCUGACGUCACUAUGAACAGCAGCACUGAUGUCUAAUAAUGUCAGUGGAUCGAAAAGAGAAAGAGAGAAAAGACAGAACAAGACUUCAGAACAAGUCCUCAACAUCUGGAUCCUGGAAUAAUCGGAGCUUCAUCUUUAGAGGACUGGAAGAGGAACAAGUUUACAAGGAAUCAUUUAGAACUGGUUCAGGAAGAAACUGAUUGAAUCCAUGAAUCUGAACAUGAAAACGUGUGUGUGAGUGAAAGAGACAGACAUGUAGAGACUGAACUAUCUGUUCAACAGAGACGACGUUUCUCUGACAGGACGACACUCUCAGUACUACACUGAACACAGAGACAAGGAGGAACCAGGAGACCAGAACCCAAACCCAGGAUAUCCAAACCCAAACCCAGGAUAAAGAGGUUCAGUGAAUGUGGUGUUGAAGUGUGGAGGUGGAUCAGUUUGUCAGAGGAGACUCUGUAGAAGGACAGAGUCCCAGCAGGACAGUCCACAUACACUGAUACUCUGUGAGAGACAGAGGUGGAGAUGGAUGUUACUCUGUUGUUGUGAAAGACAUAGUAACGACCAUCAGAGCAGCUCAGACUCCAGGACUGUUCGUUCCAUCCAAACCCACAGUCAUUAUUAUCUCCUCUCCUUCUGAUUCCUCUGUAACUCACUGAUAUAGAAAUUAUUCCGCUCCACUCGACCUCCCAGUAACAGCGACCAGUCAAACCAUUACUACACAGCAGCUGAGGCCACUGGUCAAAUCUGUCUGGAUGAUCAGGAUAUGACUGAUCCUCCUCCACAU